rnacentral:miRNA from 2 species
UAACUGCAACAUCUCUCAGUAU